rnacentral:lncRNA from 12 species
CACUAGGAUGAGGUUUUCCCAGAAGGAGGGGGGGCCCGGCAUUAGAUCCUGCCUGCCGUGUGCUUGGCUGUGGGGCCCUGGCAAGGGUCGGGCCCCUGGCACCUGUAGGGCCGGUGGUAGUGUUAUCAGAGAGGGCCCCUGGUAGGUGCACGGCCUUGAAGAUGACUGUUACCUGUGAAAACCCCCAUCUCUUUGUCUCUGCAACACACUGUCCAGCAGAGAUGCGUCAUGUGUUCAUUUCCAUCCUCCCAACCGGCCAAAGAGAAAACAGAUGGUAGGAAGGGAGCCAAACGCCGUAUGAUCUGUUCUUUCCCCCAAAACAUUACGGCAUCUUCUUCGCAGGGUGAUGUAGGGAGGUCUUGUGCCAUCGACAUCUGAGCCGCCCGACUACGCCAGGAAUCUGGCCACGGGGGAAACCUCUGGGCCAUUUCCACAUGGCCGAGGGACUCCGCCAGGACUCCCAGCCUCAUGCCAAGGCCGCCGGUCCUCCAAAUCCAAUUACCUGAGAUCAUUGACGGCUUUGGAUGUGUCCUCGGGUGACAGUUCAGAUCAUUCGUUGUUGGAAAGCAGUCCCGUCAGCGCACGGCGCGGUCGACAGCUCAGGGUCCUCGAUUUUCGGGCCCGCCUCAGCCUCACUUUGUCAAUGGCUAUCCCGAGAAAUACGACUACGAGGCUUCUGUCCUUGAUGUGCAGCAUUACGUCCUCAAGGCUGG